rnacentral:rRNA from 1 species
UGAACGCUGGCGGCGUGCUUAACACAUGCAAGUCGAUCGGUAACAGGUGUAGCAAUACAUGCUGACGAGAGGCGGACGGGUGAGUAAUGCUUGGGAAUCUGCCUAUUAGUGGGGGACAACCCGGGGAAACUCGGGCUAAUACCGCAUACGCUCUACGGAGGAAAGCCGGGGACCGCAAGGCCUGGCGCUAAUAGAUGAGCCCAAGUCGGAUUAGCUAGUUGGUAGGGUAACGGCCACCAAGGCGACAAUCCGUAGCUGGUCUGAGAGGACGACCAGCCACACCGGAACUGAGACACGGUCCGGGACUCCUACGGGAGGCAGCAGUGGGGAAUAUUGGACAAUGGGCGAAAGCCUGAUCCAGCGACGCCGCGUGGGUGAAGAAGGCCUGCGGGUUGUAAAGCCCUUUCAGUGGGGAAGAAAGCCUCGACCUAACACGUCGGGGUCUUGACGUAACCAUAGAAGAAGCACCGGCUAACUCUGUGCCAGCCGCCGCCGUAA